GACGAACGCUGGCGGCGUGCUUAACACAUGCAAGUCGAACGAGGUCCAACCUGUGGCAACACAGGAGAAGACCUAGCGGCGAACGGGUGAGUAACACGUGAGGAACCUGCCCCGAAGUCUGGGAUAACCCCCCGAAAGGGGAGCUAAUACCGGAUGCCCCCAUCUGAUCGCAUGGUCGGAUGAGGAAAGGAUUCUGCUUCGGGAGGGCCUCGCGGCCUAUCAGCUUGGUGGUGAGGUAACGGCUCACCAAGGCGACGACGGGUAGCUGGUCUGAGAGGACGAUCAGCCACACUGGGACUGAGACACGGCCCAGACUCCUACGGGAGGCAGCAGUGGGGAAUCUUGCGCAAUGGGCGAAAGCCUGACGCAGCAACGCCGCGUGCGGGAUGACGGCCUUCGGGUUGUAAACCGCUUUCAGUGGGGACGAAUCAAGACGGUACCCACAGAAGAAGCCCCGGCCAACUACGUGCCAGCCGCCGCUGUAAGAC
rnacentral:rRNA from 1 species